UUCAAAGACGAUGAAGAAUCGCGUAGGAAAAUAAGGGACAACUUCAAAUGUGGAGAGGUAAUCUUUGUGGACUUCUUAGUUGGAUAACAUCAUAUACUAAAUUGUGUUGGCAUAACCAAUCAUAAUGUCAUAUUUUCUUUGCAACAUACAUUGAAACUUCGAAUUUUCAGGCCUUUGCCACUGGAGGAACUUACCAGUUUUUUUGUAAGUCUAUUCUUCUAUCUAUUAGCACAAUAAGUACUACCGAUAAUAUUGUAUACUCUAAUGACCUUUCAAGUAGCCCAUAUUAGCAAUGCAGAACCUGCAGAUUUUGUUGCAACGGAAUCAUGACCCUGUAAGACAAAUCCACCAUGACAAUCACAAUGUUGAUCAUCCAAAAUCAGGAAAGAAAGGCAAGUUAACAUGACAGAUGGGAUACUUUUAUGACAGAAUGCAGGAUUAGUUUGACAGGAAAAGGGAUUGUGACAUAAGCUAAGCACUCUGCAAAAGAAGUUAGACAAACAAAUGAAUCCAAAUUAGAUUGUAAUCUCACUUUUAAAUAACACUAAAAUUCAUUGUUAACUGACCUCAAACAUAAAUAGUACUUAGCUCCAUGUUCAUGGCUCAAGUUGAAGGUUCAACCUACAAAGUGAUUUCAACAAACCGCUAUAACCAAGCCAAAUUGAUUCACUAACAAAAUAACCUUAGUCCAAAACCAAAUCCAAAUUUCCAAUUGACUCAAACAAUUUAUCCAUAACAUAAACUCAAUUGAUUCUAACAGUGAUUAAUAGGUGUGGAAAUAGAUUAACAUAGGUUCAAAAUAAAAUCUAAUUCGAUUUCAUGUUAAUUUCAUUCCGAAUUUUAAUGAGUAGCUAACAGAAAUUGCAUACAUAAACUAGCAAGUCAUUCUUAAGUCCAAUGGACAUGCCACAAGCAAUUUGAUUUACAAACCUGCAGUUGAAUAAUUUGUUCCACUCUAAUUAACCACACACAUAUAAAAUGAAAGGAAAAACCAAGUUGAAUGAGCUGAAUUAUAACAGGGUAUAGGAGAUGAGUUCCCUUGCACAUUUCUUACCUUUGCAACUAACUCCAUUACAUUUCAAAGCUAAUAACUAUCUCAUCCAUAUAAUUAAAUAACUUGUUAUAACUAAUUGAAAACCAACAAACAACUAACUGUCCCAAAACAAACUUAACUAACUUAUCAAGGCCGUCACAAUCCUAACUGAAUCUAACCAUUUUCUAACAGUGUUACUAACCUAUAAUCGUUUUACACUAGGGAGAAUUAACAGAGUUUGGGAUCUGUUAACUUCAAUCCCUAUAUAUCCAACAAGGGGCAAUCACAAUCUCAUAGUCUCUCAUUUCAGAAUCUCUCUUCUCUGAAUCUCUAAGCAUCUCCCUCAUUCUCUCUCUCUCUCAAAUAAACCUCACAUAGAGCUCUGUUAGGAAGCCAUUGGAGCUUCACUUCGAAGCUCCAAUUGGGGUUGAGCUAGACUUCAUCAAGCACAUACAGGCGUCAAGAACAACAAAACACCACCAAAACAUAUCGAACCAGAGCAGCAACGACAUACAUGAGACCAGUCACUAAAAAGAAGUAGGAGAAAGAAUCGAAUAGGAGAAUUCGUGUUUACCUUCGUACGAUUGCUUCAUUCAUUUUCACCUUCCUCGAAGCCCAACCUU
rnacentral:lncRNA from 1 species